rnacentral:rRNA from 1 species
ACUUAAAUUGAAGAGUUUGAUCAUGGCUCAGAUUGAACGCUGGCGGCAGGCCUAACACAUGCAAGUCGAGCGGUAGCACAGAGAGCUUGCUCUCGGGUGACGAG